CCUACGGGAGGCAGCAGUGAGGAAUAUUGGUCAAUGGCCGUAAGGCUGAACCAGCCAAGUCGCGUGAAGGAAGACGGAUCUAUAGUUUGUAAACCUCUUUUAUAGGGGAAUAAAGGUAUACCCGUGUGGACAUUUGCAUGUACCCUAUGAAUAAGCAUCGGCGAAUUCGGUGCCAGCAGCCGCGGUAAUACGGAGGGUGCGAGCGGUAUCCGGAUUUAUUGGGUUUAAAGGGUGCGGAGGUUGUUUUUUAAUGCAUGGGUGAAAGUUUGUGGCUCAAACAUAAAAUAGCCGUUGAAACUGGAGGACUAGAGUGUGUUUGAGGUAGGCGGAAUGCGUGGUGUAGCGGUGAAAUGCAUAGAUAUCACGCAGAACUCCGAUUGCGAAGGCAGCUUACUAAGCCAUAACUGACACUGAAGCACGAAAGCGUGGGGAUCGAACAGGAUUAGAUACCCCAGUAGUC
rnacentral:rRNA from 1 species